AUGCACGCUGGCGGCGUGCCUAAUACAUGCAAGUCGAGCGAACAGACGAGGAGCUUGCUCCUCUGACGUUAGCGGCGGACGGGUGAGUAACACGUGGAUAACCUACCUAUAAGACUGGGAUAACUUCGGGAAACCGGAGCUAAUACCGGAUAAUAUAUUGAACCGCAUGGUUCAAUAGUGAAAGACGGUUUUGCUGUCACUUAUAGAUGGAUCCGCGCCGCAUUAGCUAGUUGGUAAGGUAACGGCUUACCAAGGCAACGAUGCGUAGCCGACCUGAGAGGGUGAUCCGCCACACUGGAACCGAGAACCGGUCCAGAACCCUAAGGGAGGCCGCAGUAGGGAAUCUUCCGCAAUGGGCGAAAGCCUGACGGAGCAACGCCGCGUGAGUGAUGAAGGUCUUCGGAUCGUAAAACUCUGUUAUUAGGGAAGAACAAAUGUGUAAGUAACUAUGCACGUCUUGACGGUACCUAAUCAGAAAGCCACGGCUAACUACGUG
rnacentral:rRNA from 1 species